UACGGAGGGUGCGAGCGUUGUCCGGAAUCAUUGGGCGUAAAGGGCGCGUAGGUGGCGGGACAAGCGUGCGGUGAAAGCCUGGGGCUCAACCCCGGGUCGGCCGUGCGAACUGUUUUGCUUGAGCACUGUAGAGGCAGGCGGAAUUCCGGGAGUAGCGGUGGAAUGCGUAGAGAUCCGGAAGAACACCGGUGGCGAAGGCGGCCUGCUGGGCAGUAGCUGACACUGAGGCGCGACAGCGUGGGGAGCAAACAGG
rnacentral:rRNA from 1 species